CACGUAGGCGGAUCGGUAAGUCAGAUGUGAAAUCCCGGAGCUCAACUCCGGAACUGCAUUUGAUACGGCCAGUCUUGAGUGAGGUAGAGGGGGGUGGAAUUCCCGGUGUAGAGGUGAAAUUCGUAGAUAUCGGGAGGAACACCAGAGGCGAAGGCGACCCCCUGGGCCUUUACUGACGCUGAGGUGCGAAAGCGUGGGGAGCAAACA
rnacentral:rRNA from 1 species